ACCGAGUUAAGAUUAAACUUUAGAUUUCCACUGCAGUCUUUUAUAAAUACUACCAUACAACUAUCAAACGUCAAUUAUUACCUGCACCGCACCUAACAAACAAAAUGCAGUCCAAAACCCUCGUGUUUCUCCUGUGUGUAGUGGUUCUAGCAGAAGGACUAACCAUCCACAAAAGGCCAGCACACACAAAACUCAGCAAAGAAUCUUUAGAAAAAAUCACCGAGCUUGUCAAAAGCGACGAUUGUCCACAAUGGGUCCCGGUUGAUGGAGGAUGGAUCGACUGGUGCGACCCAGCGUACCAUCCCGGCAGAUAGUGUUAAGAGUGGGACAGUUCACCACGAAACAAAAAAUUACACGUAUUAUUGUCUCAAAUAAACUAAUUUUAAUCACGUCUGUGAAUAAAUAAACCAAAAAUUAAUAAACAAAAAUAUCUAACUGACCAUUGAAGUAUAGAUUAUCUUAAUCCUAAUCUCAACCGAGUUAAGAUUAAACCUCAGAUUUCCACUGCAUUCUUUUAUAAAUACUACCAUACAACUAUCAACCGUCAAUCACCUGCAACCUAUCAAACAAAAUGAAAGCCAAAACUUUUGUGUUUCUCGUCUGUGUAGUGGUUCUAGCAGAAGGACUAAGCAUCGACAAAAGAUCCCCAUGCCCUCCUACCCGAAAGUUGGGCAAAGAAUCUUUAGGAAAAAUCAUCGACUUUGUCAAAAGCGUGGAAGUCAAUAGCGACGAGUGUCCACAAUGGGUUCCGUUUGGAGAUGAUUGCAUCGACUGGUGUGACCCAGCGUACCAUCCCGACAUGAAAUAGAGUGUCGAGUGUGAAUACUGAACCACCAAAUAAUAAAUUUUGACUUAAAAA